rnacentral:lncRNA from 1 species
UCCAUAUCAUCACUGCCGUUUGUGAGUAUAAAGUCGAGAACUCUUUUUGCAGGCUUAAAACACGACGCAGAGUUUUGGGAAGUCAUUUUCUGAAGGUUAACAUCAGACCCGAGCAACAAUCUCUCAGGUGCUGACUGUGCAUGAGUAUGCGUCAACAAACUAUCUGUAAAGAGACAACUUUCAAAUCAGGGCUUUCAGCACCGCUAACAGAAUGUGGAGGGCAGAUAUUAUGUACUGACGUAUUAAUAACAUUUGGUUAAAUACUCACAAUGAUUUGUUCUGCUUUCCGCUUUCUGAAUUAAGAUUUUACUCACACAAUCAGACAAUGUUGUACAUUCUUUCUACCGCAUGCUUUGACCUUCUGUGCUAUCUAGGCAGUCUAACUUAAAUGUAAGUUGUUCACCGAC